rnacentral:misc_RNA from 1 species
GAUGAAGAACGCAGCGAAAUGCGAUAAGUGGUGUGAAUUGCAGAAUUCAGUGAAUCAUCGAAUCUUUGAACGCACAUUGCGCCCUUUGGUAUUCCAAAGGGCAUGCCUGUUCGAGCGUCAUUUGUACCCUCAAGCUUUGCUUGGUGUUGGGCGUCUUGUCUCUAGCUUUGCUGGAGACUCGCCUUAAAGUAAUUGGCAGCCGGCCUACUGGUUUCGGAGCGCAGCACAAGUCGCACUCUCUAUCAGCAAAGGUCUAGCAUCCAUUAAGCCUUUUUUUCAACUUUUGACCUCGGAUCAGGUAGGGAUACCCGCUGAACUUAAGCAUAUCAAUAAGCGGAGGA